AUACGGAGGGUCCAAGCGUUAAUCGGAAUUACUGGGCGUAAAGCGUGCGUAGGUGGUCAUUUAAGUCGGAUGUGAAAGCCCAGGGCUCAACCUUGGAACUGCAUACGAUACUGGGUGACUAGAGUGUAAUAGAGGGUAGUGGAAUUUCCGGUGUAGCGGUGAAAUGCGUAGAGAUCGGAAGGAACAUCAGUGGCGAAGGCGGCUACCUGGAUUAACACUGACACUGAGGCACGAAAGCGUGGGUAGCAAACAGGAUUAGAUACCCUAGUAGUCC
rnacentral:rRNA from 1 species